rnacentral:rRNA from 1 species
CAUCUCGUGAUAUCAUGCAGUCGAGCGGAAGAUGGGAGCUUGCUCCCUGAUGUUAGCGGCGGACGGGUGAGUAACACGUGGGUAACCUGCCUGUAAGACUGGGAUAACUCCGGGAAACCGGGGCUAAUACCGGAUGCUUGUUUGAACCGCAUGGUUCAAACAUAAAAGGUGGCUUCGGCUACCACUUACAGAUGGACCCGCGGCGCAUUAGCUAGUUGGUGAGGUAACGGCUCACCAAGGCAACGAUGCGUAGCCGACCUGAGAGGGUGAUCGGCCACACUGGGACUGAGACACGGCCCAGACUCCUACGGGAGGCAGCAGUAGGGAAUCUUCCGCAAUGGACGAAAGUCUGACGGAGCAACGCCGCGUGAGUGAUGAAGGUUUUCGGAUCGUAAAGCUCUGUUGUUAGGGAAGAACAAGUACCGUUCGAAUAGGGCGGUACCUUGACGGUACCUAACCAGAAAGCCACGGCUAACUACGUGCCAGCAGCCGCGGUAAUACGUAGGUGGCAAGCGUUGUCCGGAAUUAUUGGGCGUAAAGGGCUCGCAGGCGGUUUCUUAAGUCUGAUGUGAAAGCCCCCGGCUCAACCGGGGAGGGUCAUUGGAAACUGGGGAACUUGAGUGCAGAAGAGGAGAGUGGAAUUCCACGUGUAGCGGUGAAAUGCGUAAAGAAU